GUGGGGAAUAUUGGACAAUGGGCGACAGCCUGAUCCAGCCAUGCCGCGUGUGUGAAGAAGGUCUUCGGAUUGUAAAGCACUUUAAGUUGGGAGGAAGGGCAGUAAGUUAAUACCUUGCUGUUUUGACGUUACCGACAGAAUAAGCACCGGCUAACUUCGUGCCAGCAGCCGCGGUAAUACGAAGGGUGCAAGCGUUAAUCGGAAUUACUGGGCGUAAAGCGCGCGUAGGUGGUUUUGUAAGUUGGAGGUGAAAUCCCCGGGCUCAACCUGGGAACUGCCUCCAAAACUGCAUGACUAGAGUACGGUAGAGGGUAGUGGAAUUUCCUGUGUAGCGGUGAAAUGCGUAGAUAUAGGAAGGAACACCAGUGGCGAAGGCGACUACCUGGACUGAUACUGACACUGAGGUGCGAAAGCGUGGGGAGCAAACAGGAUUAGAAACCCGGGUAGUCC
rnacentral:rRNA from 1 species